CCUUGUCCUUGUCCCUUCAUCCAGUCGCCCCGUCUCAAAACAUUGUUGAAUCACGCACGCUUUAAAUUUUCUUCACCAGUUCGAUAAAAUUGUAAUUCCCUUCCGUGACUUUUAUCUAUUUGCGUUUUUUAUCAAACGAUAAACAGGUUAAAAACCUAAGUGAGCGUACAAUAAAACUUAUAAAUAAACUAUUAAUAAAUUUCUUAGUGAGUAAAUUAUGAUAACUCCCAAGUACGGUGCACAUAAACCCUCCAUAAACUUCUCUUAUCACACUUCUUAGGCUGUAAAUACCAAAUAAUGUUGGCCGCACGUCGUUAAAAUAGAGUUUUAUUAAUAAAUAGUAAAAGUAAUUUAUGGUUUUUAACAAUGCAAGGCGUUGGCGACGGUUUCACUCUCUUUUAUAUUUUGUACACAAGAAUUAAUCGAAACGACGAAAAAUGUGGACUUUACACGGAGGAAGAAAUAUUUUCGUCGUUUCAAAUUUAUGAUAAAAUAUUCGAAACGCUUUAUUUAAACAAAGGAGGGGUCAAUUUUACCUUUAAUGCAAAUUAAUUUAUGACAAAUUGAUGAAUGCAAAGGUUAUUAAAGUUGGUUUAAUGGCAUUAGAAAUUUAUUUUAUUGGCCAAACAACAGUUAGAUUAUAGAAAAAUGUCAGUGUUUUUAAUUAUUUGCCGAAUUUAUACAAACCAUUAAAACGCCUACGGCACCGUUUAAACAAUAGAUUUGCCGUUUUGUGAAUAAAUAAUGAAUCAUCUGACAUUAUCUGAUUAUUUGGAACCACUCAAAAUCAAUGACGAACCUAAACAAUUAUCAGUGAUUCACCUAAAAUUAGAUAUAAAACACCAUUCGUUCAAUUGAAUGCGUAGUUAUUUUUCUGUGUCAGAAAUGCCACACCAUCACCACCACCACCACCAUGGCCACCACCACCAUCAUGGGUUUGUGUCCCAUCUCAUGGAAAAUGUGGCCCAUGCCGUCCACCACAACGGACAUCAUCAUCAUCAACAACCAAUGCCAAUACCAACAUAUGGUGUCGUAAUUAACACCCAACCGCCACCACCGCCACCGCCACCAUAUUAUGCUCAUCAGUGUCGUGGGUACCAUAGACAUUGUCAUUAUGGACAUGGGCAUAACUGCCAUUGUUGCUGUUGAAUAAAAUUUUAAGCAAUUAAA